AAGAAGUUAGCUAUCAAUUGCUCGAGCCACACCUUUUAGCUUUUCUCAAACAAAGUUGCUACAGUGCCCAAAAUUUUUUGACGGAUAGCCUAACCGACACUCACAAUGAGGGCCUCACAAAAUGUGGCUUGGGCCUAGGGCCUCAAAAUCCAUAGUAAUACCAUACACUGAGCAGUCCAUGUAUUAUACCAGCAACCCACCAGAAGUUAAGCCGGAAAUUGAAGGGACGGGAAGGAAAUUGAAGGCUAAUUCGACCAAAAGGAAAAGCAGAGACAACUUAUUUUCAAGAAAAUUGAGGAUUUUGUGUAUCGAAUGGAAGAUCGCAAGGAGGUAAACACCUCUCCUUUCUCUCGUUUAGAAUUCCCUCUUCUGGGCACAAUUUUUACUUUGUUUAUAAGUUUCCAAGAAACGAAUGGUUUAUGCGUAUCAUUUUCUUGAGUUCCAGUAUGAUUUACAAUUGCAUAUUCGUUGCUUUGA